rnacentral:rRNA from 1 species
UGGGGAAUAUUGGACAAUGGGCGCAAGCCUGAUCCAGCCAUGCCGCGUGAGUGAUGAAGGCCCUAGGGUUGUAAAGCUCUUUCACCGGUGAAGAUAAUGACGGUAACCGGAGAAGAAGCCCCGGCUAACUUCGUGCCAGCAGCCGCGGUAAUACGAAGGGGGCUAGCGUUGUUCGGAUUUACUGGGCGUAAAGCGCACGUAGGCGGACUAUUAAGUCAGGGGUGAAAUCCCGGGGCUCAACCCCGGAACUGCCUUUGAUACUGGUAGUCUUGAGUUAGAGAGAGGUGAGUGGAAUUCCGAGUGUAGAGGUGAAAUUCGUAGAUAUUCGGAGGAACACCAGUGGCGAAGGCGGCUCACUAGCUCGAUACUGACGCUGAGGUGCGAAAGCGUGGGGAGCAAACAGG